rnacentral:ncRNA from 1 species
CUGCCUUGAGGACAAACAGAAUAAAGAGUUCGUAUUC